ACUCCAUCGACAAUUACUAUGACAUUUUCUAAAUCUUUACAUUCACUACAUUUACUUACAUAGCGUUACGAAACUUCUUAGAGCUCGUAUUUUUCAGCCUAGAAAUCACAUAAACAUUUUUCCUAAAGUAUUUUCAACAAAUCUAAGACCAUAUUUUUUAAAAUGUCUAACACAUGUGAGAGUGAUGGCAAACGCUGAAUAAACCAAGCGAGGUGCCUUCAUCUUCAUCAUUUGGCUUCAUUUGUUUGUGACUUGCGUCUGUUUGUCGUUUUAGAAAUCCCUGUGGGCUGCUGCUGCAACACUUGUCGUCCCUGCCAUCAGACGAUGAUGGUUGCCGCACAGCGAUGAUUGCUCUGUUGUUCAACACCACUUGGUUGACUUUUGUGCGCAGGCCUACAAGAUGAUCUUUGUUUUAUGAUAAUGUCUUUCGACGGCGACAUUUGGCUCGUGCCACAACUAAAACAAAUUAUGAUUGACAAAGUAAAAUUAAUUUCACUUUUAUGUUAAAUGUCAUCACUUUCGUUUUUAAGGGGGAAAAGAAUUUCAAUAAUGACUUUUACCCUUGGGCCCUCCGCGAAAUGAUGACGAAUACUAAACUAAAAUUUGAUUAAGAAAUGGAACAUAAAAGUUAACUCUACGAAAUCAAAUCAUGUAAAUUUUGCUCUAAAGCGUGGUGAUUGUGCUCAUGUUUCGAUAGGAAAUACCUUGGAAUGGUGCUGGAUUGACGACUUAUUUGGAAACUUCACAUGAAGAACAAGUCCAAACUGGUCUCUCGAUCAUCCUUGGUCGGUUCCUCGUAGCUUUAAU